rnacentral:rRNA from 1 species
GGAGGAAUAUUGGUCAAUGGGCGGGAGCCUGAACCAGCCAAGCCGCGUGGAGGAAGAAGGUACAGAGUAUCGUAAACUCCUUUUGUCAGGGGAUAAAAGGCGCCACGAGUGGCGUUCUGAAGGUACCUGAAGAAAAAGCAUCGGCUAACUCCGUGCCAGCAGCCGCGGUAAUACGGAGGAUGCGAGCGUUAUCCGGAUUUAUUGGGUUUAAAGGGUGCGUAGGCGGUCUUUUAAGUCAGCGGUGAAAGCCCGGGGCUCAACCCCGGCGAGCCGUUGAUACUGGGAGACUGGAGAGGAAGAGAGGCAUGCGGAAUUCGCGGUGUAGCGGUGGAAUGCUUAGAUAUCACGCAGAACUCCGAUUGCGAAGGCAGCAUACCGGCGCCCGACUGACGCUCAUGCACGAAAGCGUGGUAUCGAACAGGAUUAGAUACC